GGGAAGAUGGCUCAGUGGUAGAGUGCUUGCCUUGCAUACAUGAGGCCCUGAGUUCGAUUCCUCAGUACCA
rnacentral:tRNA from 1 species